UCGCGCCGCCGCCAUCCCCCUUCUCUUCCUUUUUCUCUAAAACCACCGGAGGUUUCCCCACAGCAACCACAUGGCGCCGCCGCUCCGGGCACCCCCCUCGCCAUCCGAGCGCACCAACAGAACCGCCACGUCGCCCUGAGCCUCUCCACGGAAGGAAUCGCUCCUGGAGCGCGUGAAUCGCUGUCGCCCACCUCAUUUCUUCCUCAGGCCCGGCGGAUCUUCCGCUCGAUUCCGGCCACCAUGGUCCUCCUCCGGCCGUUCUGAGUUCACCUCGAGCCUCAGGAUACACGACGCCGGCGGUCUUCCGGUGACACCCCGACGACAGCUUCGCCUCCUUCACGUCCGCGCCGACGAGGCGCAUCCGAGGAGCACACCCGCGCGUCCCUUUUCCUUCUCCAUCGCCCGCGCGCGCCAUGUCGUCUCGCAGAUGGUCACCGUCGCUCCCCGCGCCGCGCGUGGCAUCCCUCCGUCGAACACCUUCUGUGCAGCCUUGCACGGUUCGCCAGCUCAUCGUCCAGCGUGGCCGCGGGCCCUGCGCGUCAUUCUCUGGGCUAGCUCCACCCCCGGUCUCGUCCAGUCAGCGUCUCCCUAGCCCGUUCGUCAGUCGCUGUGGCUGGCUUCCCCCUGGGUGAGAAAAGUUCCGGCCCUUUUCUGUUUUUCCGAAAAAUCCCAGAAUAUGUGUUUAUCUUGAUAAAAUCAUAUCUCUCAAACUAUAACUCGAAAUAAAAUGUGUUAUAUAUGAAAAUUGAUCAGAAAAACAUGAGGAACAUGAAUAUGCCAUUCAUAUGCUUGUUUGCAUCUCGCAUCAUGUCGUGCGUUGAUGGUUAUGCAUGUUCACCUAACAUAUAUGCGGAGUAUUUCAGAUACCGACUAUGGUUUUCCCCGCUCCGUUUAACUUUGAAGUAGCGCACCUCUGCCAUGUUGUACCAUGCUAAUCAACACUUAAUUUUGUCGGUAGAAAAUGCAACUCCAACUCUAAUUUGUUUGUCCGGGGUUCCGACUCCGAUUAAAUUGGAAAAGUUGCAUUGCACCAUAUCUGCCAUGUCAUGCAUAUCACCUUGAUCAUGCUGGAUCUUCUUUAUCCGUAGUAGUAAGACUUGCAUACGUUGUGUGUUCCAGCAUUUGCUUCUUCACGGAUAGGAUCACGAAGUGGUGUUGUGAGAUACGAUAAGUUCUUCUGCAGCUUUCACAGGCGAGCCCACCCCUUCACCUAUUUUAAUUUUACAGGCUCUUUUGAUCUAUUGCUAUCCUUAUGUUGCGAUUCUGUUGUGUCACGUGUCCUAUCCACAUGUUACCUAUAUGUCCGAGAUACACCUCCUCGCCCUACCUAUUGUUUGUUGUUUGCCAGCUUUGCGAGUCGUAGGCGAGUUUAGGGUUUUGUUGAUAUCUCGAAAUGUUCGGGAUAUCUUGUUGGGAGGUUAUCACAUGAUAUAUCAGUUGUUGGAGAUACACAUGCUUUACUUAAGUGUUAACAACUAAAAUUUUAAGCAGAGGCAUCUGUGAGCCCCUUUGCGAAAGCAUUGGAACUUUGACUCGCUAAUGUCCCCUAGGACCCGAGUUCUUGUUAUCUGUUCCGAGAUUGAGCGCUCUACCCAUGCGUGGGGAUUCACUGGGACCCCCCUCACCCUUUACCUUUUCUCAAGUCAGUUGAAAAGGGGGCCACAACCUUGGUUUUAUUUGGCGCAUGCAUGUUUAUAUACUGUUGCCUUCGGGUGUUUACUUCCUGUUGCCUUCGGGUGUUUAUAUUCUGUGCUGUACUGCAUAAUUGCUAGACGACUUAUCUAGUGCUUGGCCGUUAGUGCCCGCCUAGACGCCUACGCAACCUCUGGGUCCGUCUCGGAGUACGGCCGAACUUCGUCACGGGUAGCUUAGUUGGGUGGCCCCCCUAGACUUUCUUGUUGAACUGGGAACGGUCUUGUUGUGAGACAUCGCCUGUAAGAAGCGGGUCGAGCAUGCGUAUGGUUACAUUUGGGCAACCCCUGCAGGGUGUACAUCUUAUCGAUAAGCCGUGUCCACGGUUAUGGACGACUUGGAAUUGUAUAGCUUGAUCAUAGAACAACUUACACCUUAUUUCCUGUUGCUAAUAAUUUGCUAAUAAAACUUUUUCAAAAAGUGUGUGUGCCUUUGCCAGUACCUCUUUGCGAAGGGGGAUCGCAUCGGCUGUGUUAUGUUUGCAGAGUAUAGAAUUGUUACCUUGUGCGCUCUCUUAUCUUCUCUGAGUAGACGGAUGUUGUAGCGUGUCUCUAUUGGAUAGUAUCUUUGCUGCCGCUAAACUCCACAUAUAGCCGGGUGAAGUUUAUACCGCCCACCAGCGAGCAUAGCUGGUCUUGUCUCGCAAGUACGUGCCAGUGGUACUUACCCUCGCCUUCCUUUCUUUUUGUCUCCUCCCCCUUUUGUCGGCAACCGAUGGCCCGACUUUGACAGGUACGAGAUGAUGACGUUAGCAAGGUUACCCUUCCGGCUUGGCCUGGGCAGGGUUAUGGACGCCACUGGUUAUCUUCAGGACUCUUAGUCCAAUUUGUAUAUUGUCCGUACUCCGAUGUAUUCGAUCUUCUGUAUGAUUUGGAUCUUUGUAUUGUAUAUUCGUAUCUUGACUCGUUGGAGUCGUUGUUGUAAUAUAUGUUUCUUGUGGGCUCUA